CAAUGUGAUGUUAGAUGUGUCAAUUAUGUCAGAACAACUGAGGAACACCCUCAACUUGAGGUGUUUAUUAUUUGUAUUUUUAUCAAGUAGAAGUGUUUAAAUAAAAAAUGAGUAAGUUUGAUUUCGGUGUGACAAAUUGGUUCAAGUUUAAGGGGCCAUUAGACGAAAGUACAAAUCUUGAAUUCUAGAGGAACCGAAAUCAGCUAUAUUUCAAAUCCAAAGUAAAUAGACUCGCUGGCAUAUCCCCAAAUACUGCAGUUUUAGCAAUGGCUUAUACCCUUUCUCUGUCACAGGCGACUGUUACGUUUACUGGUACGUACUUUCAUUUAGUAGGAAUCAAUUUGGGGUUAAAUUCUGGUACUCUUAAUUGGAUCUGCAGACAAGUUCUUUGACUUCGCCAGGAACUUCCCUUUUCCAGGUUAAGAGCUAUAUCUGCUCCUGACUAUGCCUCAAUCUCAAGCAAGUUGAGGCUAAUUAUAUGAAUCCUCUCCGAAGGUCGUUCCAUUUAAGCUCAUCUCACACUGUGGAUUGAUAAGGUCAUAUUCCCCGGCAUAGACAAGUAGCUUGAUGCCAUCCUCAAGAAGUGGAGGAAUACCAGCUUCAAGAUUCCUCAUCCAAUCCAACUGCAUUGCCUG